rnacentral:lncRNA from 1 species
GGAAAAGUGUGUGUUGACAGCCCCUGUGGGUGAACAAUUUCAGCAGGAUGAAUAAACACCCACAAAUACAACCUGUGAAGAAACAAAACAAGUGAAACCCGAUUAAGACAGACUAGAGUCAGUCCUGUAGACUCCAGCAUUGGGCCUGAAUUCUCUCCCCAGCCUCAGUUAAUCCCUAGAGAGCACCCCUCCCUUUAAUGAUUUAUUUUUAUUUUAUAUGCGUUGGUGUUUUGCCAGCAUGUAUGUCUGUGAGAGGGUGUCGGAUUUCCUGGAACUGAAGUUACCGACAAGUCGUGGACUGCCAUGUGGGUGCUGGGAACUGAACCUAGGUCCUCUGGAAGAUUGGCCAGUACUCUUACCCUCUGGAGUGGCUUCCUUUUUUGAAGACAGAUUUCAGUGUCCAGAUAGUAUGGGACAACCUUUCUUUGACAUUUUUCAUCCCCAUCAUUGCUUCUUAGAUUUGAGCAUGUCAAGAACAAAAACAGAGCCAAGCAGUGGUGGCACAUGCCUUUAAUCCAGCAUUCGGGAGGUAGAGGCAGGUGGAUCUCUGUGAGUUUGAGGCCAGCCUGGUCUACAUAGUGAGUUCCAGGACAGCCAGAGCUGUUACACAGAGAAAUCAUGUCUUGGAAAACCAAAACAACAAGACAAAAACAGUGCAGUGUAUAACAGUAUCUUUCCUUCCUGUUGGAGGUGUGUGUGGUGUGGAGUGGCUACUGGGGAUCAUACCUAGGGACUUGUGAAUGCCAAGUAAGUGCUGAACCACUGAGCUACACCACCAGCAAACCCCACUUAAGGUCUUUCUAUCAUCUUUAAUGACAACGGUCUUUUCACCUCACUGACCAGAAUCUCACAGGUGAAAGUCUAACUUUCUGCACACUGUCCCUACCCACAACCCAUGGUCCACCUCCAUGAGAUUCUGUCCCUACCCCCACUGAAAGGACACUAGCCCAUUCAAGCACGUGUCUCUGGCGGGCCUUGCCUGUCUUCCCCCAAUUCCCUCGGCCUUGCUAAAAACCGUUAGAUUACAUUCCUAAAACUACCUACCAAGAUCCAUUCCCUUAUUUGGAUACUUCCUUCUCCUGAGGUUGACUACCAAGGUCCAGUUAUCAAAGUGUUGAAGUCCAGAAAUCAGAAACCCCUCUUUGGCUCACCUAAUUACCAUGUCCAAUUAAAAUUAAACACCUCAUCCUAACAUGGGGUUUUCCCCUCUUACCUUUAUAAACUGCCGUUUUCGUGCCCCACCUGUCCCUGUCUAUCAGAGGCAGUCCUUUGCCCCUCAGUUCUGAAGGGUGAAAUGGAUCUUGGGCAGCAGUGUUUAGAAUCAAGGUGUGGCAGGGCUCACACCCCCUGGAGUCUCCAGGGAAGAGUCCUUUUCUUAGGCUUUUCCAGCAUGCAGACAUGUGCUCUUUGGCUCGUGGUCCUCUUGUCCAUCUUCAAAGCCAGCAACAGCAUCCUCUGACCUUAUAUCAAAGGGCUAGAUGGUUACUUCAGGCUUGCUCAGAUAAUGAUUCAAGAUGGUCACUUCAUUUUAACAUUCUUCAUUUUGUCUGAAAAAACAAAAAACAAAAAAACAAAAAACAAAAAACAAAAUCCCUUUGCAGUCUUAAGGCAGCCUUUGCAGGCACUGGGGAUUAUGACCUGGAACCUUGAUAUGCUGUUAUUUGGCCUAUUUGUUGCUCAUUUUUGCUUGCUCUAUGACCAAGACACUUUGUACAUGUUUGGUAAAUUACAUGGUAACAGUGGAAACUCCCAUCCAGCAGACAUCAUGACCCGGAGAACUUUGG